UUCACAUCCCCAACUCACACUCUCUCCUCUACACUUUAUCUUCCUUCUUCACAUCUGCAAUCCAGUCUCUCUCUUAGUCUUUCUCUGCAUAGACAAUUGAAGCUACUUUUACGAAGCCCCAUAGAUUUGGAGUGGAAAUGAAUAUUACAAAAGAGAGAGUAUGAAGAAAAAGAGGAAAUCUGAUUGAACGGAGGAAGAGUACUGUUACAUUGGUUCUGUCUUCAUCAACUGAAAAGAAACUUUACAGAUGGCCUUAUAUACACAGAGCUAACAGAUAACAGAAAAGAGAAAAGAUCCUAACUAACUUCUGAACAGAGCUUAACUGCCAUCAAGGCUUAACUGCCACCUUUCUCUUCUAAUACCCCCCCGCAAGCUGGAGUGUAAAUGGAAUGAAGCCCCAGCUUGGACACAAACUUUUGAAAUAGCAUUGGUUGUAGGGGUUUUGUCAGGAUAUCUGCUGUCUGAUGUUCAGUAGGAACAUGUAGUAGCUUUAUGAUUCCUCCUUGUAUCUUUUCUCUUAUCAAAUGACAAUCUAUUUCUA